CGGAGCGUAGCGUAGUGGUAGCGCGCACCCUUGGGGUGGGUGAGGUCGGGGGUUCAAUUCCCCCCGCUCCGA
rfam:Bacterium F11 isolate F11 NODE_17_length_35534_cov_9.72127, whole genome shotgun sequence.